UGUAUCAUCAAUUUUAUAAAAGUAACACCUUUCAUUAUUCAUUAGUUUCAAUUUCAGACCAAUGAUGUGUGGUUAAGUUCCCGGGUCAUUGUGAUCGAUUCUACCCCUAGAGGGCCUAGAUUUCGCCAGGUGAGGAGACGAAUUAACUUCUCCUCGGAGGAUGGGGAUGGCGCAUGCGCAACCCGCACACCUGUAGCGUCCCCCAAAUUCCUGCAGAUACGACCAUAGCCGAAGAAAGUCUUCAGCAACGGUUGCUGAGACUCGAAGAAAGUUUGGAGGCGCAGCGAAAGGAGAUGGAAGGGAGGAGAAUCCUCCGGAAGUUGAAUGUUUGUAAUUUUUGCCAAAAUUAAAAUGUUUUAAAUUUCAACCUGUCUUUUUUCAAUUCUGUUAACGGUUGAAACAGACUGUAGCAAUGUACUCAAAGGAGAAAUGGCCGCGAACGUCAUCCAUAGUGUUAUUUUACUGAAUCCAGAAGAGAAAAAAGCUCUUAAAAAAUACAAAUCUUUUCUCCCCGUAUUAGGCGACAAAAAGACGGCCAAAAAAUAAAAGGAGGUUACUUAAAAAGAAACCAACUCGGCAUCACAACCUUGUUAAAAAUCGUAAAACCUUUCCUGAAAAAAUGUCAUUAAAUAAGACACAUUUCACACUUACAUAUCGAUACUUGAAAAGGAAAAUUAUAUCCAAGUAUACUGAGUAUCUGUUAUGCAUCCAAAUUCAUCGAAUCUGAGGCUAUUAUGGAUCGGAUACCUUAAAUGCUUUAAAUAAAUAUCAACGUAUCAAAUACAUGAUGGAUAUUCAAGGUUGGAAAAAUUUGGUCCUAAUAUGGAUCGGAUACCUUA